rnacentral:rRNA from 1 species
GAUGAACGCUGGCGGCGUGCCUAAUACAUGCAAGUCGAGCGAAUGGAUUAAGAGCUUGCUCUUAUGAAGUUAGCGGCGGACGGGUGAGUAACACGUGGGUAACCUGCCCAUAAGACUGGGAUAACUCCGGGAAACCGGGGCUAAUACCGGAUAAUAUUUUGAACUGCAUGGUUCAAAAUUGAAAGGCGGCUUCGGCUGUCACUUAUGGAUGGACCCGCGUCGCAUUAGCGAGUUGGUGAGGUAACGGCUCACCAAGGCAACGAUGCGUAGCCUACCGGAGGGGGGCAUCGGGCACAACGGGAAUGGGACACGCCCCAGACUCCUACGAGAGGCAGCAGUAGGGAAUCUUCCGCAAGGGACGAAAGUCUGACGGAGCAACGCCGCGUGAGUGAUGAAGGCUUUCGGGUCGUAAAACUCUGGUGUUAGGGAAGAACAAGUGCUAGUUGAAUAAGCUGGCACCUUGACGGUACCUAACCAGAAAGCCACGGCUAACUACGUGCCAGCAGCCGCCGUAA